UAGAUGGUCGGCCAGUAAUACCCAUGCCUUAGAAUUUUAUGUGCCAAUGACUUGGCCGCCAUGUGAUCCCCGUAAAUCCCUUCGUGUACCUCCCGAAAUACAUAAUUCACUUCUGACGGUGUUAAACAUUUGAGUAAUGGAGAGCUGAAGGCCCUUCGGUACAAAUCUCCAUCGAUGAGUACAAAGUUUGAACUUCUGUGCUUGAUCUUCCUUGCUAGGAUGCGAUCCGAGGGCAGUACCCCAUCUGCCAAGUAGAAGAUGUAGGCUGUGAGCAGC
rnacentral:lncRNA from 1 species